rnacentral:rRNA from 1 species
UACGAAGGGAGCUGGCGUUGUUCGGAAUCACUGGGCGUAAAGCGCGCGUAGGCGGACCUGCAAGUCGGGGGUGAAAGCCCGAGGCUCAACCUCGGAACUGCCUUCGAUACUGCGGGUCUCGAGUCCGGGAGAGGUGAGUGGAAUUCCUAGUGUAGAGGUGAAAUUCGUAGAUAUUAGGAAGAACACCAGUGGCGAAGGCGGCUCACUGGCCCGGUACUGACGCUGAGGCGCGAAAGCGUGGGGAGCAAACAGG